UACGAAGGGGCUAGCGUUGCUCGGAAUUACUGGGCGUAAAGGGCGCGUAGGCGGCGCUGCAAGUCAGGCGUGAAAUUCCUGGGCUUAACCUGGGGGCUGCGCUUGAGACUGUGGUGCUAGAGGAUGGAAGAGGCUCGUGGAAUUCCCAGUGUAGAGGUGAAAUUCGUAGAUAUUGGGAAGAACACCGGUGGCGAAGGCGGCGAGCUGGUCCUUACUGACGCUGAGGCGCGACGCGUGGGGAGCAAACAGG
rnacentral:rRNA from 1 species